GACGAACGCUGGCGGCGCGCCUAACACAUGCAAGUCGAACGAGCGAGAGGAGGUUUACUUUCUCAAGCGAGUGGCGAACGGGUGAGUAACGCGUGAGGAACCUGCCUCAAAGAGGGGGACAACAGUUGGAAACGACUGCUAAUACCGCAUAAGCCCACGCCCCGGCAUCGGGUAGAGGGAAAAGGAGCAAUCCGCUUUGAGAUGGCCUCGCGUCCGAUUAGCUAGUUGGUGAGGUAAUGGCCCACCAAGGCGACGAUCGGUAGCCGGACUGAGAGGUUGAACGGCCACAUUGGGACUGAGACACGGCCCAGACUCCUACGGGAGGCAGCAGUGGGGAAUAUUGCACAAUGGGGGAAACCCUGAUGCAGCGACGCCGCGUGGAGGAAGAAGGUCUUCGGAUUGUAAACUCCUGUUGUGGAGGAAGAUAAUGACGGUACUCAACAAGGAAGUGACGGCUAACUACGUG
rnacentral:rRNA from 1 species